rnacentral:lncRNA from 1 species
UCCCUCUAUCUAUUCUUCUCUCAUAGAGAGUGGAGCCCCGGAGGCCUCAAUGGGUCACCACCAGCCAUCAUCCGCUUUUCCUCUUCUUUCCUCUCCCUCUCUCUUCCUCUGUCUCCUUCUCCCUAGUUCCAUUUUCGCCAAUAUUCAGAAUCAAAUGCCUGAAUUGCACCGAUAGGCCGCUGGUAUGGUUUGGGGCAGUUUGACAUUCCAUGCAUGAUACUUUCCACUAGCGGCACUUGUUGCCAAUAUAAAUAUAAACAACCAUCAGUGAUCCAAGAUGUGAUGGAAAGUAGCACUUAUUAGAUAAAGGCUAAUCAGCUAGAAGGGAGAGUAGUGAAAUACAACAGUAAUAUUGAUGCUGGUGGAGUUUCUUCUUGGCAAGUCUGUCACAAGUGCUAAAGAAACAACUCAGUGCCUUGUACUAUCAACAACAAAAUUAGCUGCAUUGACCAACAUGCUAGAAUCUAAAUUAGAAGGUCGAGUGGAUCUCCAGAGGCAAGUAGGCAACAAAAAUAAAAUUUGGGCAUGUUAAAGGGAGGUAGAUUUGUGUAUCCUUGGUAAUAAUUUCAGCAAGAGAUGAACCAAGGAAGGUGGGUUUAGAAUGAAAACAAUUUCAUGUAUAAAGUCAAAUUCUGUAUGAGAUGCAUUAGGAACAGAUUCAAGCAAUGAUAAUCUUCUCAAUGCUAAUCACGUAUUAGCAUGCUUUGUGCAAAAAUUGGAGGUUCAUGAAGUUAGCUGCUGCUGGUGAUCCAUCAUAAUAAAUUCUGGAACACACUGUUCCUCCUCUGAUGAAUGGAUAGAAUUCUUGAAUCUGAUCUUCACCUGUAUGACUAGUCUGAACAAGGAGCCUAAUUAUAGAAACCAUUGGUUUGGGGAUUUGCAGACUGAUCUAGGAAGUGGUGAAUGAAGGGGAUAACUAUGAACUAGGAAAUGAGAGUUGUUCCAACCAAAUGGCAGUCAUAAGCAUCAUUCAAAAAAUUGCUCUCUAGAUGGUUUGGAGUCUUCUGUCCUCAAUAUGAUUCUGCAUGCCAUCACCAUGAAGGGUUUUACAGAACCAGAUGAUAUUGUGCUUGAGAUCAUGCUUAUCAUACAAUGUAUCUCAGUGGCUGACGUUAUUCUUCAGAAAACAAAGCAAGAGACUAUGAUCAAUCAUUUUUUGUGGAAAAAAGAGUGGCUACACUUCCAAACAAAUAACUAACUGUCCUGAAUACAUGAUGGCACAAGAAAAUUGUAAGCAGCUCUCUGGAAAAUAAAAGAUGUAACAGAUACAAUGGUCCAUGUGUGAUAGUCAGGCAUGGAUACCCGUGAAACAAGUAUUUGCGCCCCCUCCCAGCAAUAUUUUCAUUCCGAAGGGGUCAAAUUGAUCCUAUUGUUUGAAGUUUGGAUAAUACCAGAGGAGUUAAAAGGGUGAUUUGCCUAGUGGAAUUUGUUGUUCCUAGUUCAUGGAUCCCUGACUUCAAAUCAUGUGAAGAAAUCUAUCAAAAGAGAGAAGAGAAGGCUAUGAAAAUUGAGAGCUUGGGAGAAAACAACAUUCAUACGAGUGAAAUCUAGCUCAAACAACUCCUUUAGUUACUAAUGUAACUAGUUAAAAAAUAACAGGAAGAAUCUGCUUCCACCUUCCAAGUGUUUGAUGAUCAUUCGUCUCAUAUUGAUGUAAAGUUCUUUACACAAAGAAUGAAAUCAAGGUUUUACAUCCCGAUGGGAUGGCCAGGGGGCAUCUUGGCCGUCCUAUCUUGUUCUUGUGCAAAAAUGGGAUUGGGACGAGCUCGGAACUCUGAAAUCCAUCUAUGUAGAAGAGAAGAAGAAAGAGGAAAGAAAGGAAGGAAAGAUGAAGGUGGAAAAUAUGGGUAAAAGCAAUGCACCUCUCUCUAGGAUUGUAUUAAUAUUUAUAGAGAUAUGUACAGAUGACUUAGCAUAAAUGGACAUGUACAAAUAAGGUAUCGAAGUAAAAAAUUAAAUAAGCCUAAUAUACUACUGCCAUAAAUAAAUCUAAUGCCAUAAAUAUAAUAGUACUCUAACAUCCCCCCACAACCUGAACAUCUCGUGGUCAAAUGUGAAGAUUGGAUCAAAGUAGAGUAAACUGGGAAGUGGACAAUGGCUUCGCGAAGAUAUCAACAAGUUGCUUGUCAGAAGAAAUGUGAAGAAGAGACAAAUCACCCAUUUGAACUUUCUCUCAUAGAAAAUGAUGAUUAAGCUCAGUGAGCUUGGUGCGCGCAUGAAGAACUGGAUUGGUAGCAAUAUAAGUGGUGUUAAGAUUGUCACAGUAAAUAGAGAUAGACGGCACAAGGGCCAUGCCAAGAUCUCAAAAAGAGAGCGAAUCCAGAUGGUUUUAGCAGGCGUGAAUGCGACAAUGUGAUAUUCAGCUUCGAAGCUCGAUCGAGAUAUAGUAGGCUAUUUCUUAGCAAACCAAGAAAUAAGAUUUAGACCCAGAAAGAUACAAAAAUAAGAAUUGGAGUGCUGAGUAUCAGGACAUCUUGCUUAGUCUGCAUGUGAAUAGACCACUAAGGACAGACACUGGCAUCAAGAAAAUUAAAGCCCAUAGGAUAAAGUACCACAAAUAUAGCGAAGGAUGCAUUUGACAGUUUGGAAAUAUGGUUUACAUGAAGCAUGCAAAAAUAGGGCCACGAGGUUGACAGUAUAAGAAAUGCCUGGAUGAGUGAAAGUAAGAUAUUGCAAAGCCCUCACGAUUUGAUGGUGUAAGAGUCCUUAAGCAGGCGAUCUUUGUGAGCGGAUAGAUUGGUGUUAAGUGCAAGAGGAGUAGAGACCGACUUGCUAGAGGAGAAACCAUGAUGCUCCAGGAGGUUAUGAGCAUACUUUUGUUGAUUAAGGAAUACACUACUAGUCGAAUUAGAUACUUCCACUCCUAGGAAGUAAUAAAGCGGGCCUAGAUCUUUCAUGGCAAACUCAGCAUGCAAGAUGGAUAUUAAGGAAGCCAAUAGAGAGGACGAGCUACCAGUUGACUCUCCUAGAAACCCAACACAGAAAGAAAAGAGGUAAAUUGUUGAAACCAGGCAUGGGACACCUAUUUUUUGAGCCCAUAAAUAGCCUUACGCACUCGACAAACAUGGUUGGGGUAGGACAGUGCACAAAAUUAGGUGGCUGCAUCAUGUAGACCUCCUCAGACAACACCCGUGAAGGCAUUUUUAACAUCUAACUGUCAAAGAGACUACUUAGAAGAGACAGCAAUAGACAAGAUAGUGCGAAUAGUAGUAAGCUUAACUAUUGGGGAGAAGGUCUCAUUGAAGUUGAUCUUCGAUUAUUGUUUAGAGCCUUGAGCAACCAACUGAGCCUUGAGGCACUCCAAAGAGCCAUUCACAUUCUGUUUGACUUUGAAGACCCACUUGAUGCUGAUGAGAUUAACAAAGGGUGGCGAAGGCACAAGAUCCCAAGUAGCAUUGGAGAGUAAGGCUUGAUAUUCAUCCAACAUUGCUUGUCGCUAAUCUACAUGUUGAAAGGCUUUAGAAAAAGAGUGAGGUUCAGUAGGUAAAGUAGAAGCCAUGAGAGAAGAGGACAUAUCUCACUUUCGGAUAAGGGAUCUUGUGAGCAUAGGAUGGGUGUGAAUAGGAAACAAUGUAAGAGCGACAGAGGGUGGUGGCUUAGUCGCAUCCAAAGAAUUGGUCCCAACAAUUGGAUAGGUCUCAGCCAGUCCGAGCGAGGAAUUGGUCCUUUAUUGUGGACCGGUCUGAUUUGGGAGUGUAGGAUUGGAUGUGGUUUCGGUUGUGACUGGGGGUUCCAUUUUAGAUUUAGGAGGAUGAGGUCUUUUAUUAUAGAUAUGAAGUUGUUUUGGAUUGCCAGAUGAGAUAUGUGUCUCAGUCCUAGGUGGAGAGAAGGUAGAGAUCUCGUUGAUAGGCAAUCCUUCCAAUCGGGAGGAAUCUAGUAAAAUAUUAGGAGUAGAGUAUCUAGAAGAAUUUGAAGCAGAAUUAUUGUUAGGAAGAAAAACAAAUUUUGAGAUUGCUUUGAGGGUAGAGGGAUCAUGAUGCAGCCUAGACUAUGCUUUGAUGGAAAAGAGAGAAGGAAGACGUACGAAACAAGAGAACAGCAAAAGUAAAAAGAAACUAUAAUCUAAAGUUUUGAUUCAAUAACAAAGAAAAUAGACUGACUACAAUAUUAGCCUAAAGGAUUGUAUUUAUAGAAGAAAAAAACCGAACUUAACGCCUAAGCAAUCUUAAACAAAAUAGGAAAAAGAUUAAGACUUUCAAUUCGUCCAAAUCCUUCGGACUCUGUUGAUCUGUCAAAUGAUGGAAUCUAGCCCUGAAACUAGCUAUGAUGGCGAAGCGGUCAGGCUCGUAGAGCACAGAAGAGUUUUCAGAAUUGGGGUCUUAUAAGCGAUUCUGACUGUAGAUGUGAGAGUUAUGCCCAUUUUAGCAUGGCAGGGUCAAAAUCUGGUUGGGUCAGGCAUAAUCAGCUUGAUUUCUUGUCCUUUUAGACCUGGUCCAUCAAAUCAAGGUAUUUACUAGUUAAGACAUCUACAUCAGAUCAUUACCUAACAGAGGUGGAUUUGUCAACAAAAAUUGAAAUAAUUGAAAAUUUGAAUGAGAAUGGGUAGAGUCAGUAAAUUUGAAGAGAUGAGUAUGGAAAAUAGAUUCAAUGAAUGUAACAUAUCAAGAAAUAUAAACUUUUCCAGUACUUGGAUAAAGGCAUCAGAACCCUUUGUGUUUAUUAGAAAUUUUCAAGUAAACAUAAGGUAGAGACCGAGGAGAGAGCUUAUGAUUGGCGAUGUUCUGUAGAUCUAGACAGCACAAGCAUCUGAAUAUCUUUAAAAGUUGCAAGUCAUAAGGAGGAUAGCCAUACAAGAUAUAUUAAGGUGAUUUGCCCUUUAAACAAUAAUAGAGAGAAUAUGAUUAAUGAGAAAAACACAAUUUGAAUCGCAUCAGCCCAAAACUUAGCAGGCAUGCAAGAUUGAAAAAGUAUAGUUCUAACAAUAUUAGCAAUGUGUCUAUAUUUUCAUUCAGCUACCCCAUUUUGUUGUAAUGUAUGUGGACAAGAAAUUCUAUGAAGUAUACUACAUUUAUGAAAUAAAGUAAGGAAUUUUUUAUGAAUUAUACUACAUUUUCAACUAAAGCCUUAAAUUCAAAAAACUUGUCAAACACCUCAUUCUUGAAUUUUAAUAAACAUACCUAUGAAUAAUGAGACUGAGAGUAAUCAUCCACAAAUAGAACAUAAUAUUUGAAACCAAAAACAAAAUUAAUAGGUGCUUGCCAUAUAUCAGAAUGAAUCAGUUGAAAAGAAAAAGUCGAAAAAGAAUCAUAUUUAUUAAAGAAAAGUUUUACAUGUUUGCCAAUAUGACAUGUAUUAUAAUGAGACAAAUUUAUUCUAGAUUCAAAGAGCACAUUAGUCUCUUUCAUAAACUUAGACAAAACCAAUUGACUCAGAUGACCUAACCUCCUAUGGCAAAGAUCGUUGCUAAAUGUCAUAGCAACCAAAGCAGAUUGACAUUCUGCAUGUACUCGGUCAUGCUCAUUGUUCGCUUAUUUAUGUUUUGAAGUUCCGGCUUGAGAGAGAAUGUGGUGGAUGUAAUUUUAUCUAAUAAAUAUGCUUCAAUCGCCGUCCAGGCCUCGCGCGCUAUCUUUGGUGAAGUGGAUAUCACCAUCUAUAAAAUGCUCAAAGACAACUUCGCAUUAAUCCAUGACAGUAUGGUUGUAUCUUCUUUCUUUUAGAUAGAAUAGGUCAGAUUGACCAAAACUCUGUUGUUGGUUCCCUCAAUUGUUUGAGAAGGAAUGAUUGUCGUGCCAUCUACAUGUGAGGAAACUCCAAAACUUUUAAGCAUGUUCAGAAAUACAUGUUUCCAAACAAGAUAAGUGGUGUCGGUGAGUUCAAUUGGGACCAAGAUUUUGAUAUUGACUAUGGGAAGUAGUUAAGACAUGUUAGCCACCAUAAGUUAGUUGUAAGAUGACAAAAUAAAAGUCACACCAAGAAAUUGAUGGCCAGUACUGUAGUUGGAUUUACUAUAGCAAUACUGUUGCGAUGGUACUGUAGCGGUACUGUAGCAAGCAAUAAACGUGACAAAAGUAAUAUGAAAGAAAAGAGAAGGUUUGAUGAUGGGUAUGUGGAUCGACUGGAGAUGGAUAUGGGUAUGUGAAAGAAAAGAGAAGGAGAAGAAAGGGAGUAAUUGGUGGUAGAGGAUCCACCGAAGAUGAUCACUUAUGGCGGCGACUUAUUCUAGGGUUAGGUUUUUGGCUCUGAUACCAUAAAAAUAUGGGUAAAAGCAACGCACCCCUCUCUAGAGUUAUAUUAAUAUUUAUAGAGAUAUGUACAGAUGACUUAGCAUAAAUAGACAUGUACAAAUAAGACAUAGAAGUAAAAAAUAAAAUAAGCCUAAUAUGCUACUAUCAUGAAUACAUCUAAUGCCAUAAAUACAAUAAUACUUUAACAGAAGGAAAGGAAAAAAUGAAAGGAAAGAAGAAGAAAAUGAAAAAAAGAAAGGAAGGGAGAAGGAAAAUAAAGAAAAGAAGGUAGAGGAAAAAAAGAAAACAAAGAAGAAAGAAAAAAAGAAACAAAGAAAGGAAAGAAGGGGAAAAGGAUGGAGGAUAUCCACUAGAUUGCAUGAUUGGGACUGUUGUUGGGACGGGACAAGAUGGUGGGGUGUCCCCUUCUAUGGAGAAAUUGGGACGCCUUUGUCCCAUGGAUUUAAAACCUUGAAUGAAACAACUCAAGAAAUUUCCCAAAUUGACAUGGCUUUUGGUGGUGACGGCAUAAUAGCUGAUGACCAUCUAUGAUGAAGGUAGUAGCUUAGAGAUGGGAAAAUGACAAGCAUGUGCAAUGAUGAGAUGUUAUUACUAACCUCUGUUAUUGCAAACCCAAGCUUUUUUCAAAGAUGUUCUGGACAUUAGUGAGGGGCUUGUCACUGUCAUACAUUGUGAAAAUUAGGACACAGGAAGAAUGGGAACAUUUAAUUAAUUAAUUGUAUUUUACUUGGGCAAUAGCCCAAGUACAUCUAUGUGACAACAAUUACAAUCACCAAGUUGGUAAGCAUAUUACCAACAAUGUAAAAGAACUGUAUAUGUAGAGUCAAAACAUCCUCUAAUCCUAUUAACAUUGGUAUUGCAAUUCUUUGCAUUCUCUCCUCUAACGUGCUUUUUCUCCAUCAUCAUAUAUCCUGCAAUUGUCAAUUUACUUGACAUCAUCAGGUAACCAAACAUGGAAUUGUAUAAGUUUUGCUUACAACAAAAUCAAACUUGAAUAAAUGUGAACAAAGUACCUACAAAUUAUUAAGAUUUGAUAAUCAUUCUCUCCCCCUCUCUCUCAUUGCUUAUUUACUUUUUUAUUUAUGUACUUGUGUUUUUCUCUAUUAGCUAAGAAGGGGACCAGGGAGGUUUUGUUGGGUGAAAUUUUCCAUAAUUUGUCGCUGUGAUCCAAUUAAUUUGCAAAUUCCUAAAUGAACCUGAAAUAAAAAUAGUUGGAUUUUGAUGAUUCUUUCUCAAACUUCAAUCAUUUAAACUUAACAGUUACAAUCAUCAAAAUCUAUUUGGAUGACUCUAAUGGGAUCUUUUUCACCAUUCAUUACUGUUGGGUACUUCAUCCUUUGUUUUUAAUAAGUUUUUUUUAAUGUUUGUAUACUCUUUCAUCUUUCAAAUUUGAAUGCUUGUCACAACUUGAAGGUCCUGAGGCCCUUUGAUCUGCAAGAUCUCUAUAGUUCCUUGCUUCUGUUUCUAUUUAUUCUCAUUCACUGCAUUCCUUUGGUUUUCCUCCUAUCCAGUUUAACAAAAAACUAGUUAGAGCAAAUAAAAGGAGAGGUUUUACUAUGUCUCCUGUGAAAGUAAUUGUAUCUCUUUUCAUAUAUCUAUUUUAUGUUACAAGAGGCUCUAUAUAUAGAGCAAUAAAGGUCCAGAUACAAUGAACUAUCUAGAUACAAUGAACGAUACAAUAAAGAUCCAAAUACAAUGAACCAUUUAGAUACAAUGAACCAUAUAAAUCAUAAUCUCAAUCAAAUAUUCUGUUACCUAAUUGAUCUCCUAAUUGAUAUAUUUCUUAAAUAGGAUUAUUCUCAACACUCCUCAAGAUGGAGCAUAUAUAUAAUGUAUGCCCAGCUUAUUACAAAUGUAAUUUACCCGAGGACCUCUAAGUUCUUUAGUGAAAUGCCAGCUGAUCACUUGAUCCAAAACAAAUGCAGUCGCAAUAUCUCGUGAUUGUAAUUUUUCUCGAAUAAAGUGGCAGUCCACCUCAAUAUACUUAGUCUUUUCAUGAAACAUGGAGUUUGAGGCAAUAUGCAUUGCUGUUUGAUUAUCAUAAAAUAAUUUCAUAGGUUAUUAUUGUGUCUUGCCCAAUUCUCCUAGUAGCUACUUCAAUCAUAUGGACUCACACGUUGGCAGGGCCAUAGCUCUAUAUUCAGCCUCUGCACUUGAAUGGACCACAACAUUCUACUUUUUACUAUUCUAGGAGAUCAAGUUUCCUUCAAACAAUACAUAAUAUCUAGUCAUGGAUCUUCUAUCAGAUAGUGAACCAGCCCAGUUAGCAUCACUAUAGCCAAUUAGUUGAGCAUGACCCCUAUCCUGAUAUAAUAAACCUCUUCCAGGCGCAGUCUUGAUAUAUUUGAUAAUUCGGAUUAUUGCAUCCCAAUGUGCCAUAGUUGGAGAAUCCAGGAAUUGACUUACAACACUAACAGCAAAGAAGAUGUUUGGUUUGGUAAUUGUGAGAUAAUUCAACUUGCCAACCAAUCUUCAAUAUUGCCCACGAUCUGAGAAAGGCUCCCCCUCUCCUAGUACAAGUCUGACUUUAGGGUCCAUAGGAGUAUCAACAAGUUUGGACCCAACUAAUCAAGUUUUCUUCAAAAUAUCCAACACAUACUUCCUCUGACAUAUAUAGAUACCACGUUCAAGUUUUACAAUCUCAAUUCCAAGAAAAUACUUCAGAGAUCCCAAAUAUUUGAUCUAAAACUGUGAAUGCAAAUGAGUCUUAUGUUGAGUAAUACCAACUUCAUCAUCUCUAGUGAUAACUAUAUCAUCAACAUAGACAACUAGAAUUAUUUUUCAUCCCUUAGAAUGUCUGUAGAAAAUAGAGUGAUCUGAUUGAGAUCUCACUAGUCCAAAGUCCAGAAUAGUUGAACUAAAGCGACUAAAUCAGGCUCGAGGAGUUUGUUUUAAGCUAUAUAAUGACUUCUUAAGCUUACAUACUUUGCCAGAGAACUCCUCCUUAGUAACAAAUCUGGAAGGUUGCUCUAUAUAGAUAUUCUCCUUGAGAUCUCCAUGCAAAAAGACAUCUUUUCUUGAUAUCUAGUUGAUGCAGGGUCCAGUGAUGAAUAGUAGCCAAAAAAAGAGCAAACAGACUGAAACAAUCUUAGCUACCGGAGAGAAGGUGUCAUUAGAAUCUAUCUCAGGAAUCCGAGCAUAGCCUUUGGUAACAAUCCGAGCCUUUAGAUGAUCAAUCUUUCCACUAGGAGAUACCUUCACUGUGUACACCCAACGACAUACGACUGUAGACUUAUUAGGUGGCAAAGAUACCAGUUUCCAAGUGCUAUUAGCAUGCAAGGCUGAUAUCUCUUCCAUCAUUGUUGCCCGUCAGCCAGGAUGUGCCAAUGCCUCUAUAGUAAAGUGAGGAACAGAAAUAGAAUCCAAGAAAGAGAGAAGGCCUGUAUAGAGAAUAGAUAAGCGAUGAUAGCUCAAAAAAUUAUAAAUGGGAUGAGUAGCAGUAGUAGCAUGUUUACCUUUUCUAUGUGCAAUAGGCAGAUCAAGUUCAGAAGGUGAUGGUGAUAAUGGACCCGAUGUGGAAGGAGCUAUAGGUACAAGAGAGUUCUCGACAAGUCUCAUCGGAGGGUCAUGCACUCCUUUUGCUACAGCAAUUUUUGCUUGAGGUGCCUUUUGCCUGUGCUGAAAUGUAGUGAGGUCACUUUGUUCUGCUUUCCUAAUAGAAGAAUUUGGAGAGGGCAUGAAAGUAAAUAUUUUUGGAAGAGGAAUAAGAGCGGAUGCAAUGGUGGUGGAUGACUCGGAUGAUGAUGUAGUGGAGUUGGAGAAGAAAGGAGUGGACUUAAAAAAGAUAACAUCGGUGCAAACAAAAUAUUAGUGAAGUUCGGGAGAGUAGCAUCUAUACCCUUUUUGCCCUUGUUAAUAUCUAAGAAAAAUAUAUUUAAUAGGGCAAGUAGAUAACUUAGAUGCACCGAGAGAUAAUUGAUGAACGAAGCAUACACAUCCAAAACAUGUGGGGAUAAUGAUAGGAUGCAUCUUGUGAAAGUAAAAUUGAAAUAAGAAUUUGAUCCUGAAGAACACUAGAGGGCAUUUGAUUAAUUAAAUAACAUACAGUAAGGAGAGCAUCAUCCCAAAAACGAUGAGGAACAUGCAUAUGUAAAAGUAAUGUUCGUGUCGUUUCAACAAGAUGCCUUUUUUUUUCUCAACCACUCCAUUUUGUUGAGUGUGAGAGCACAAGGACCGAUGUAUCAUACUGCGAGAUGAUAUAAAAGAUCGAAAUUAAGUAGAGAAGUAUUCUCGAGCAUUAUCACUAUGAAGAGUAUGAAUAGAAACUCUAAACUGAGUGUUAAUCUCAGCACAGAAAGAAACAAAGAUAGAAAAUACUUCAGAAUAAUUUUGCAUCAAAUAAACCUAAGUUACUCGAGUAUUCAUCAAUAAAAAUAACAAAAUAAUGGUAACCUUGACUUGAGAUAAUACUACAAGGAUCUUAGAUAUUAGAGUGAACAAGAGAAAAAGGAGUGCUAGCUCGUUUAUUGACAUGGCUUGAAAAUUGAGUUUGUGUAUUUUUCAAGCUGAUAUGACUAACAAUUUAAUUCAUUUAUACUAAACAUACAAGGGACCAUCUUCUUUAGGGUAGUCAAGGAUGGGUGCCCAAAACGACUAUGAAUUUGCAAUGAAGUAGCAAUCAUGUAGGCAGUAGGUAACUCAGAGGAAACUGGAGCAUAUAGGCAGUAGAGUCCUUAAGACUCAUGCCUUGUGCCAAUCGUCCUUCCAAUCCUUGAAUCUUGAAUCACAAUAUUAUCAGAAUAAAAGAUUAUGAUACAAUUAAGUUUUUUUGUGAGUUCACUAAUGAAAAUUAACUUAAAAGGAAACUGAGGAAGAAACAAAAUAGAAGACAGGGAUAGGGAUAGGAAAGCAGUACGUGCUACUGUUCCAAUGCCCCAUAUAGGAGUAACAGACCCAUUGGCUAAUAUGACAAAUGGUAGAGCAUUAGGCUUAGUUAAACAAGAGAACAAAUUGGGAUUACUAGAUAUAUGCUCGGAAGAACCAGAGUCAAGAUCUAGGGGCCAAGAGAUGACUGAGGCAUGUAGAAGUGUCCUGAUAGAGCGAGUAAAACAACAAGUUGAGUUGCUUGUCGAGCUGUCUGGCUUCGUAAGAAAUGGGCAUAUUCUUUUGCAAAUUUGACGAUAAUGGAUUGUUUAGUGGGCAGUAUACUACCAACACUGGAAACCUGUCUGUCCUGCAUUGGCGACCUUAGGAGGAAAUCAAUGCAAGGAGUAACAGGUAUCACAACUAUGCCCUCUUGUUGCAGUAACUACAUCUGGGAAUAUUUCUUCACCACCUCUAGUGCCUCUACUACCUCGAGUACCCCCACGAGUGCUAGAGGGUGCUACAUAUAAAUUAGAUUGUAUGAUAAAAAUAGAUCUAUCUCUAGUAGGCACAUGUUCUAGGACAGCUGGAAUGGAGGCUACUCGAAGUAGUCGUGAAAAGACAUCUGUUGGUGAAGAAAUUGAUUCACCACCUAGGAUCUACGUUUGACUAAUUCAUCCUUAGGUCGAAUACUUUACAGACAAAUAAUUGAAAAUAUCUUCUCUAAUUGAGUUUGUUGUACUUUCAAAUCUGUAGUAAAGGGCAUCAAUUCAUUAAAUUCGAUGAAAAGUGCUUGCAAUUGGCCCAAGUGUGUUUGCAUAUCUAUAUUGGCCUGUCUCAGUGGAAACAGAUGGGAGAGCUUGUGACAUCACUAGUGUAGAGCUCAUGAGCACGAGUCCACACCUCUUUACAUAUCCAAUAAGGACAAAAUAUAACCAUCAAGGAUGGAUCCAUGGCUUGCUACAAAAGACUAAGUAGUUGUGCAUCAAUCUUCUUUUGGGUGGCUUGAUCAGAUGUCUAAAUAUCAUAUAUGAAUUUGGAGAGAUGAUCUUCCUGCUCUUGACCCAUAAGCCAGACCUCGACAGUUGCACUCCAGUCAGAAAAAUUUUUGCUAUUCAGCUUCGUGGUGGUGAUUACAGUGUUGCUAGAGAUUGGAAGACUUGUGAUGUUGGUGACUUUGGAAUCAUUUUUUUAAUACAUUCUUGCAUAUGACGCCGGUGGACAAAGAAGUAGAUAUGACUUCAGCGAGGGAAGCCAAUGCAAUGAGAAGUCUCGCCUUCGAUCGGUGAGUGGUGCGUAGUGCAGUGAUGACACCUUCAAUUGAUGAAUGUGGGGUGGUGGUGCAGAAAACUGGACUCUCAGAAAUUAAAUUACUCUCAUGAAAUGCUCUAAUACCAUGUGAAAGUAAUAAUUGUAUCUCUUUUCAUAUAUGUAUUUUAUGUUACAAGACGCUCUAUAUAUAGAGCAAUAAAAGUCCAGAUACAAUGAACCAUCUAGAUAUAAUGAACUAUAUAAAUCAUGAUCUCAAUCAAAUGUUCUAUUAUCUAAUUGAUCUCUUAAUUGAUAUAUUUCCUAAACAGGAUUAUUCUUAACAUCUCCAAUGGUCGAAUUCUCAAAUAUGGCAUGAAAGGCAACUGAUAUGCUGCCAUUCAGUGAUUUAGUUUAUGAAGUUACUUUUUAUUGUUACUAAUCAAAUAAGGAGACUUGAUCUGUAUCUUUGCUAUUUUACUACUGCAUUAUUACAUGGAUACAUGUGAAUUCAAGUUUAGAAGCAACAAGAUAUUAAAUUUUUUACUUUUUCGAAUGAGUUUGAUGGAAUACAGUUGGACAUGAUCUUUCAUCAACCUACACUCAUAUGCCAUAAAACUAAUUUUGAAUGAGUUUUGCUUAAAAAGCUACUGAUUGUGGGAGAAAACCUUGUAACUCAUAGGCUCCAUCUGCUCUUUUAGUGCCUUGAAAAUGUGUAUGAGUGUAUCUAAAUAGAAAUGUAUAAGAGUCAUCUUGUGAUUCAAUAAUGCUGGUGCACAUGCAUUCAGUUACUUAUAUUUCUGAUGCUGAUCAAAACAAUCAUAGGAAAUUUCCUGUUUGUUUCUAACAAACUAUAGUACAGUGAAAUGCCGUAUGCUUUUUGAUUUCUUUUGCUUUUACUCUUAAUUGACAGGAUCAAACUAAUCCUCAAAUCAGCAGAAAAGAAGAUUCUGAGAAAGAAUUCGUAGAACUUAGUACGACGGGAGCCAUAGUAUUUGUUAUAGCAGCAUCUACUUUCCUGGUGCUUCUAUUUUUUUUUAUGUCCUCUUGGUUUGUUUGGCUGCUGAUUGUCUUAUUCUGCAUAGGCAGUACUGAGGUACAGAAUUUUCAGAAUUCUUAUUUCUUGUAAAGGUUGUAUAAUUUUACUUAUGAUAGAGAAGCGUGGAGUAAUUUGUGCAGCUGGUCCUUUAAUGAUUAUAUUUUGAAGUUUUUAUUUGACAGGGAAUGCAUGUCUGCAUGGUGACACUUGUUUCAAGGUACAGGCAUGUUAAGUUGAUUUACUCUUAUGAAUCAUAACUCUUUAUGAAUCAUACAGGUAGUAUUUUUCAUUUUUAUUGUCUUUAAGUUUAUUUUUUGGUUUUCAGUUUGUUUGUUUAUUGAUCUCUAUUGAGCAGAAUUCUUAAAGGUUGUGGGCGGAUGACUAUAAGUCUUCCCGUUCUAGGGGAGGUUUCGAUUCUGUCUAUGUUGGUUUUACCAUUCUGUAUGGCAUUUGCCAUUUCUUGGGCUGUAAAUCGGAAUUCACCUCAUGCCUGGAUUGGGCAAGAUGUUCUUGUAAGAUAUUUUUCCACACUAAUCUUUUUCUUUUACUACACCUGUCCUUGUUUUUAUAUUCAUUGUAAAUCCAGUGCCAUAAUCUUGAACUUAAUAUGUGGGUUAGCUGUUCUUGUGCAUUUAUAUGAAAGCUAGCAAGUCUCUUUUUCGUAUAAAUACUUCCAUUAUUGUAACUUGAGCAAAUGCUACAAACUUGUAUGUACUAACUCACAUUAAGUAUUUCAUAUAAGAAUAAGUUGAUGGCAUAUAUACAAAAAUAAAAUAAUUAUAUAUAUUUUUAACAGAGCUAUGUGCAGUCCAGUAAUCUAAUGUCUACAUAUACAAGAUUUCUUUUCUAGGUCACAAUGGGUCAUGGCAUGAAGCUUAUAUAGUAGAUACUGACAUUACAUGGAAGUAUGAGCCUUUGUGAGAAAGUUGAAGGAGCUUGCUUGGUAGCUGUAUAUGGGUAAGGACAAGAUUAUGUGAAUAGAUUGGUCAGUGAUGCCUUGCUGUGACAUUUAGAUUUUCAGUUGUGUGGCUAGCAUUUCAGUAAUCAAAACAGAGAGUAAUGAUUCCAAAGUUGGAGAGAAGAUGAUGAUGUAGGUCACCACCAUGAUAAUUUUAGCCAUAAUCUUGGUUUGCUGUACUGUCCCAUACUGCUCGAUAUGGGGCAUACUAUACCUUACUAGUACACUAUACCACUCCAUUCCGACACUACCAUAUCGAACCACGUACUGACACUAUAAUAGGAUUUUAUUGGUAUGGGGUCUGGUAUUGAGACAGCGUACCUUGGCCAUAAUAGUACUAUACUUGACUAGUGCUAGACUGAAUUAUGUUUGUUUGUUUAUUGUUCUUCAUGUAGGUGAGGGAUCUCCAAGAUCUAGAAAUUAAUUAGUAUGAUUGCCAAUUUAAUCUUCAUUACUAAACCUGGAAACUUUGAUGAGAAGUAUGAGCAAUUGUUUGUUCCCCAGAGGUAUAGUACAUAGUCAAUGAGCUUGCAAUGACAUUGAACUAGCUUACCAUAUAGAUAACUUGUGUCAAGGAGCAAGAAAUGAUAUUGCAAUAGCUCACCAUUAACUUGCAAUUUUGGACUGUUCACAAAGUUACAUAUGGCAAACAAUUAUAAAAUGAACAGAGCAUUGUGAGGAACCCAUCUGUCUCUAGUUUGCUAUGAGAAAUAAAGACAUUGGAGACCGCAGGGUGAGACAAAAUCCAGCUAUAACUCCAUUUAAGGUCUCCAGCUCCUUCUGCAGAAUUAUCAAUUUGAAGCCAAGAUUAAACACAUGUGCUAUAGAUAGUUAGAAAUGGCAACCAGUUAGUUUGCCAAAACAAGGAUUGUUCAAAAAGGCCUAUAUAUAAGGCUCACCUCCUUCACUUCUUGAGGCCAAUUGCUUCAAAAAUGCCUCGCGGCUCAGCCAUGUGUGAGUCUUCUAUUGCGACCUGUAUUGCAUAAAGGAGCUCAUUCUCUAAUGUAGGAAGCACACCUUGCACCUGAAGAUACACUUAACAUUCAUUAAGCUUAUACUAUUUCAACAACUUAGAAGGGAGGAGAGGCUCUUUGAUAUUAUUGCAUGAUAUUGUAUAUGCACUCAAUUCUAGAACAAAGUUUGGUCAUAUUUAGAUUUUUGCAUAACUGGUCAUAGAUUGUGCAAUCCUCUCCAAUAUUUUCUAGUUAUGUGAUUAUGUCCAACUCCCACUUCCUUUAUAUUUCCUAUUUUCACAUCAUUUUUGCAUGGAAUUCUGAAUCUUUUAAGAAAGUACAUGAGGCUACAGCUUAUGCAUUUAUGCUUGAGCAAUUAUGCUUCGCCUUAAAUCUCCACAUUUUGGAAAAUUGGCAGCUCAUUAUGUAUUGGUCCAUUCCAUGGAUGGGCCUGACAAUCUGAGAAUCACAGAGUAGCAUGAUUCUGCAUUUCCCAUUGCUAGAUUUAUUAGUAAACCCAAUAGCUUUGCUUCAAAUUUUAUUGGUAACCUUGGUAAAUUCUAUUGAGACUUAUCCUGAACUCAGCAAGUCCCACUGUCAUUUUCAGGUUUCUAAGGAGAUAUCACAACACUGGUUUUUUUACAGGUCCAUUUAGUCCUCAAAGUUCUUUUAUUUCUCGUUGUUUCUGCCCUAAAUUUAUCAUAUAUCUCCUUCUCAGGUUGCACUUAUUGCGUUCAUUAUAAAUGCUGAAAAUACUUUCCAUUUUCAGCUGCCAAGCUUCAUGUUUAAGUUAAUGGUCAUUAUGUAGGUUUUUCUACCUGAUCUUUCUUUCUUGCUCUUCUAUGAGUCAUAUUUGAAAAUUGUUAGAGAUGGGUGGUGCUAGGAGAUGUUCCAUUCAGUAAGAAUGGGCAAGUUCCCUAAGAGGGCGUUCUUCUAUUGCACCAAGAUUCAUCAAUCUGGGUAGUCAGCCAGUUUGUACGGGCACCAACAACAUUCAUAUUCUCAGUUUCAUUAUAUCCACUAGAAUCACAAAUCUGUUCCGCACUUCCUGCAAAGUCUUUUUGAUUCUAUCUGAGUCUGCUUGUCAGCUACAUGUCUGCACCUUUCCACCAAUUAGAUCCUUGCUAGUUGCUACUAAGAUCAAUGUUCUAUGAAACAAAUGUCUGAAACAUCCUUUUAGGUCACCAUUUCUGCCACAUGUACAUGAUCAUGCAUGAAUUCUUAUUGGAUCCUUCUUGAGUACUUAUUGGGGAAAGCUAUAAAAAAUGAAGAAUUUAAGUGCUGCCAACUGAAAAAAAGGAACUUUAGUUAACAUAGAAUAAAAGAAAUAGCCAGAUACCAGUACUGGCCCAGCAGCAUAAAUGUGACUUGGCAUGGACUCCACAGGGUGGACCUUAAAAAGAACCAUGGCUCUAACACAUUUAAAAAACAUUUGAAAAUUUUAAGACCAGUUGAGCAAUUCUUUUAUCCAUUUUGAUUCGGAAAACUUCAAGAGGUUAAGUCAGGACUCAGGAUAUUGCAUGCAAUUCUGAGUCUGUCUACAAAAUGAUAUAUACAUGUUACUAAUGCAUGUACUAUCUCCAUCCAUUGUAGGAGCAUGUUUCAGAUAGGAACCUGAGAUAUGUUUAGAUAAAGUAGUCCCCCUGUUUUUUGGAUUCUUUUGGCACUGCAUGGAGUCCAUCAAGGAUUUAAGUACCCUGCAUAUUGGUUCAUGCCGGCUAUACUGAGUUAUACCAGUAAAGGGUGGUGUACCAAUAUUUGUACCAGUACAUGGUAUUUCACUGCUAUUUUGCUGUGUUUACACCUCUCAGUACUCUAUUGGUAUGAUUAGCUACCAACAUGGGCACUGGUACCAAUAGUCCAACGACUCCAACCCUUGAUAUAUCUGAUUUCAGUUUGAGUCUCCUUCAUAAUAGAACCUUUCAUUCGAACUACCUCUGCAGUACUUCACUUGCAUAUGGCUAUCAAGACUUUUUCCACUGAUUUAAAAGAACUUAAUCUGCAAGCUUUAUCCUAGCUAUACUGGAUUUGUUUUAUGGAGCAGAGUUUGAUCUGUAAUAUAUAGAUUGGAUUAUUUUCUAGUGUUUAAGCAUCAGUGUUGCCUAAUUAUCAGAAGAGGUCAUGCGAUAUAUUGUCAAUAUACUUUUGACAAUAAUGAUGAAGUAAAGCAAUAGGAGCACUAAAUUCAUGUUAAAAUACUAUUCAAAUCCUACUUUGAAAGGUCAUUCUACAAACCUAAAAAAGUUUGUCAUAAACCUGCUAGUUCAACUUGUUGGCAUUGGCAUUGUUUACCUGUAACUAUAUAAAUAAGAACAUUGUAUUCUACAAGGUGUUCAUUGAAAUUCUGCAUUAUUCUUCCUUCUAUGUAACUCAUUCAUGGAGAUACUGCUGAGAUCUUAAUUGCAUCUUACUUUAAUUGGAUUCUUUCUCUUCCAUUCUUUCAGGGCAUCUGUCUGAUGAUUACAGUGUUGCAAGUGGCCCGCUUACCUAAUAUAAAGGUAAUUUGAAAUAAUGACAUCCAGAUUCUGCUGUAGCUGCAACAUCCUACCAUCUAAUCAUUUUUUUUUGGAAAUUCAGGUUGCAUCAGCUCUUCUUACCUCUGCAUUUUUCUACGAUAUAUUCUGGGUGUUUCUUUCACCCUUGAUAUUCCAUAAAAGUGUUAUGAUUGCGGUAAGUGUAGCUCCUAGAUAUUUUCACUUAUUGAGUUUUCAGAUGGAAAAAUAUCUUCUCAUAACUUAUUUGUAUAAGGGAAUAUCUUUCAUUUAUCAAGAAUUUCAUUAGUGAUGUCUGGUUAUUACCAUGGUUUGUAAUACCAUCCGAUAUGGGGCAUACCAUACCAUACCAUACUAUACUGGUAUGCUGUCUCGGACCAUACUGAACCAUGUAUCAAUACUAUAAUAGGAACAUACUAAUAUGGGGUUCGAUACCGAGAUGAUGAAUCUUGGUUACUACAGUAACUAUUAUAUUGCAACUUGUUUGUUAACUGGAUCUGCUUUAUGGUCUUAUGAAUUUUUUCUUCUUGGUUUAUUUGGAUAGCUAUCAUUUUCAUCAAUUAAAAGAUAAGCUAUUGACUACAAAGUCUGCUGUAUAGAUUAGUACCAUACGAUACCGAUUGUACCAUACUGUACUAAUACCAAACCUAUAUAUCAAACCAUAACAUAUGGACCUUGGUAUGUCGAACCUUAUUGUAUUGUACUAUGCACUAACAUUGUUAUACCACGUAUCGAUACUAUAAUAGGAUGGUUGUUGUUGGUCUAUAUUAUUCGACCUCAUCAUUGUCUGGACACAUGGUAUCAGAUUGUUAUCUAAAAUAAAUCUUCUCUCAGGUUACAUCGGCCCAAGACUGACCUGCCUCUUUAGUAUUAUCUGCUAAUCAGCUUAAUCCAGAAUUGCUUACAAGCUUGAUGCUCACCUUGAUUUGUUUUCGAUCUCCAUCACCUAACUUCGGUUGUUGGCCGACUUGAUUAUUGACACCAAAGGCAUAACACUCAGUCCAGAUAGUUACUGAUGUCAGCUAUUCCACAUCGAUUUGUUACCGACGUGCCAUCGUAUCUAUGGACGGUUAUCUGACAGCUGUCAUUCAGCUCAGCCAUAACUGUCUUCCUGUCUCGUCUUCUUCUGGAGAAGCUCAAGAGGUCACCCAAUUGCCAGUUGCUAUUGAUCCUCAGCAAUUUAGUCUAUUAGUUCAGCAAGUUCAAGCCCUCACUGCUGUGCUGCAACAACUUUAGUGUACCACUGAGCAACAGCAAUGAGAAGCAAGUCCUUAAGUGGUUCAAUCCCAUCAUUCCCAGCAACAAAUUCCUCAAAAUCCUCAUAAUCAUGCUCUAGAUCUCACAGAUCAAUCCUGGGGGGCAGAAUCAUCUGCUCCAAGUAGAAAAUGAGUAUGGAAGAAGGUCUUAGGCAAAAGAUUCAAGAUCUUGAAAAGAAAUUGAUGGAAAUUCAGAUUGGAAGCUCACAAGAUGGAAGGGAUUUCAGCCUGUGAUCUCCCUUCUCUCAGUAGAUCCUUGAUGAACCGGUCCCUCUUCAGUUUAAGAUGCUUGCUGUGGAGUCAUUCAACAGCUCCAUUGAUCCUUUUGACCAUCUGAAAGGUUUUAGAGCCAUUAUGAGGCUGCAAGGGGUGUCUGAUGCCCUACUCUGUAUCACCUUCCUAAUCACCCUCAAAAAGUUUGCGAGAAUUUGGUUCUUUGGCCUUCAGUCAGGAUCUGUUUCCUCUUUUGAACAGUUAGCCAAGCUGUUCAUUACCUACUUUGGUAAUAAUAGAGUUCACCUGAAAAAAUACUAACGGUCUUUUUAUUGUGAAGCAGCAAGAAGGUGAAUCUCUGCAGGAUUAUGCUGCACGUUUCAAUGCGGCUACUCUGGAAAUCAAGAACUUCAAUGAGUCCAUUACUAUGACAGCUCUAAGGCAGGGACUCAGAAGCAACCGCCUGAUCUUCUCCCUCAACAAAAAUUAUCCGGAUAACUAUGAGCAAAUACUUGUUCGGGUAUGGAGGUAUACUCAGGUUGAAGAAGAAAAAAGCAUAAUCCAUCAGGCAAGGAAAGAAGAGGGUGGAAAAAAACGACCUCGAAAAGAAGAUCACAGAAAUCAACAAAGGAAUACUGAUCAAUCUCGAAAAAAUUCAAGGUCUGGAAGCCCACCUCGACGAUUUGAUUCUUAUACUUCUUUAUUUGCUCCUUGAGCUCAAAUACUGAUGGAGAUCAAGGAUCAAGGGUAUCUUCCUAACCUAACCCUAUGAGAGCCCCACCAGCAAAAAGAGAAAAGAAAGUACUACCGCUACCAACAGGAUCAUGGCCAUGACAUUGAGUGCCGGCAAUUGAAAGAUGAAAUUGAGGCACUGAUACCUCGAGGUUAACUUAGCAAAUAUGUCCAAGAUCGGACCAAUCAAGCUAUCGACUAGUGACAGAAGCCAGACAAUGAAAAUGACCUCAACAGACCUACAGCUAGAGUUAUCAACAUGACCUUGGAUCUUAUGAAACUGAAGAGGCAGUUGAAGUGGCUGGGAGCUCCCUAAAACAUCAAUGCAUAGACAAUACUAUUUUUUUUUGAUGAUGUCAAAGGAGUUCAAACUCCUCACAAUAAUGCUGUUGUCGUUUCCAUGACAAUAGCAAAAUAUGAUAUAAAAAAAUAUUAGUAGAUAAUGAAAGCUCUACUGACGUAUUGUUCUAUGAUACAUUCCAAAAAAUGAAUUUGAUAGGUCAGUUAAAGCAGGUCGGCACCUCCUUAAUUGGCUUUUCUGAGAAUUCUGUAACAGCAGAAGGAGAAAUUAUUUUGCUAGUCAUUGCAGGCACAGAACCUUACCAAUCAACAAUAAGACUUAUUUUUUUGGUUGUUAAAGUGCCAUCAGCUUACAAUGCAAUUCUUAGCUGACCUAGGCUCAAUGUCCUCAAAGCUGUAGUUUCCACCUACCACUUGUUAGUUUGAUUCCUCACUAAAUAUGGAGUCGAAGAAAUGCGAGGAGAUCAGAUGCUUGCUAAAUAGCACUUCUUGAUAGCAACAAAAAUGAAGAGACCUGUGGAAGCCUUACCAAUCAAAAUAUUGGAUCAAGAAAAUAAAGCUGAUGUUGGAAAAAGUCGAGAAGAACCAGCUGAGAAGCUUGUCACUGUUCCUUUGGGUGAUGAUCCAAAAAAAAUAGUUCAGAUUGGGUCUUUACUAGAGCCUGACUUAAAAAGGAGAAACUGAUAUAUUUUCUUCGGGCAAAUGCCAAUAUCUUCACUUGGUCAGCAUCCGACAUGCCUGGAAUCUUAGCCGAUGUUAUUAUGCAUAAGCUCAAUGUUGAUCUAAAGUAUAAACCAAUGCAACAAAAGAAAAAAAACUUUGCUCCAGAAAAGCAGAAAGCAAUAGAUGAGGAAUUUGAUAAAUUAUUGAAGGCCAAAUUUAUUAGAGAAGCAUAGUGCCCGAAUUGGAUUGCAAAUAUUGUCAUGAUAAAGAAAGCCAAUGAAAAGUGGAGGAUUUGUGUUGAUUACACCGACCUCAACAAAGAUUGUUCAAAAGAUAGUUUUUCUCUUUCAAAAAUUGAUCAGCUUGUUGAUACAUCUUCAGGACACAUUGCUGAGUUUCAUGGAUGCUUUCUCUGAUUACAAUCAAAUCAAAAUGCCACCUGACGAUGAGAAAAAUGCGGCCUUUGUCAUCGAGAGAGAUUUGUAUUGUUAUAAAAUGAUUUCUUUUGAUCUUAAAAAUGUAGGUACCACAUAUCAACGUCUGGUGAACAAGAUCUUCAACCAACAAAUUUAUCGCAAUAUGGAGAUCUAUGUUGAUGAUAUGUUGGUGAAAAGCACUGAAUCAGAUCGGUAUAUUAUCAUCUAGGGGAAGCUUUUGGUGAACUUUGCAAGUAUUAAAUGAAGCUCAACCCCAAUAAAUAUAUUUUCGGAGUGACUUUGAAAAAAUUCUUAAUUUUUUAAUAACUCAAUGAGGAAUCGAAGCCAAUCCUGAAAAAAUCUGAGCUCUACUCAAAAUGAAGCAUCCGAGCUCCAUUAAAGAAGUUUGCAGCUCACUGGAUGGUGGCUUCUCUCAGUCGAUUUAUCUCUAGAUUAGUUAAAAAAUAUCUUCUUUUUUUAAAAUUCUCAGGCAUAUUAAAGACUUCACUUGGUCGGAUGAAUGUCGAGCUGCUUUCGAUGACCUCAAGAAAUAUCUCGGAUCCGCUCUAUUGUUAUCAAAGCCACUGGAAGGUGAGGAGUUAUUCAUGUAUUUAUCUGUUUCAGCUAACGCUAUUAGUUCGAUUUUGGUCUGAAGUGAUGCAGGAACACAAAGACCAAUCUAUUAUACAAGCAAAUUGCUUAGAAAUACUGAAACUCGAUAUUCCAAAACUGAGAAAAUGAUCUAUGCUCUUAUUACGUCUGUAAGAUGGCUUCAACUUUAUUUUCAAGCUCACUCUGUCAUAGUUUUGACUGAUCAAUCUCUGAAGUCAGUCUUACAGCGGCUUGAUACUUCAGAUUGGAUUGCUAAGUGGGCUAUUGAAUUAAGUGAGUUCGACAUUCAUUAUCGACCUUAGUCUUUAUUGAAAGCUCAAGUGCUAGCUGAUUUUAUUGUUGAAUGUUCUAUUCCUGAUGAAGAACCAAUUUUGAAAAAUUUGAAAAAUGUUAAUAUGGAUUCUUAUUGGAUAUUAUAUGUUGAUGGAGCUUCUAAUUCUAAAAGAAGUGGAGCUGGUUUAAUUCUAGCAAGCCCAGAAGGCGUUGUCACUAAACGCGUUUUAAGAUUUAAUUUUGAUACCUCAAAUAACAAAGCAGAAUAUAAGGCAUCGAUUGUAGGACUUGAGAUGGUUAAAGAACUCAAUAUUAAGAGGCUUAAAGUCUUCAUUGAUUCUCAGUUUAUUGUCGGUCAGGUAUGGGGUCAAUUUGAAGCUAAAUAUUUCACUUUAUCUCAAUAUUUAUAUAAUAUGAAAGAAUUAUCAAAAAGCUUUGAAGAUCUAGAAGUCAUACAGAUACCUAGGUCGGAAAAUGGCUGAGUCGAUGCUCUAUCUCAUUCAGCCACAUCUGGUUUCUUCGAGCUCUAUUCAAAUAUUUUUGUUGACAUUCUUGAAAAGCCUAAUAUUGAGGCCUUGCCUCUUGCCCAAAUUGAUCACGAGCCAAGCUGGAUUGAUCCAUUAAUGGAGUAUCUCGCUAAAGAAGUUUUGUCAGCUAAUCCAGUUGAAGCAAGAAGAAUUAAAAGACAGGAUGGUAUGUCAUCCUAGACAACCAACUAUAUAAGAGAUCAUAUUCUUCUCCACUGCUUUGAUGUCUAAGACCAUCAGAAGUUGAUUAUGCUCUUUGAGAAGUUUCUGAAGUAAUUUGCAGCAAUCACUUGGAGAGCAGAUCUUUAGCUUAUAAAAUAAUCAGAUAAGAUUAUUAUUGGCUUACUAUUCAAAAAGAUUCUGCCAAUCUUGUCAACAAAUGUGAUCAGUAGUAAAGGAAUGCCAAUAUUCAACAUCAGUCUGCAUCCGAGCUCAUUUCUAUUACAGUAUCCUAGUCUUUUGCUAUAUGGGGAAUGAAUAUUCUGAGACCUUUUUUCAAUGGCUAUAGGAUAGAGAAAAUUUUUGAUCAUAACCAUUGAUUAUUUCAUCAAAUGGAUAGAAGCCGAGCCACUAGCACAAAUCACUGAGAAAAAGAUAAAAAAUUUUGUAUGAAAAUCGAUUAUCUGCCAUUUCGAUUUUCCUCGAGUGAUAAUCACUGAUAAUGGAUAGCAGUUUGAUAACAAAAAAAUAAAAAAAUUAUUCUGAGCUCCACAUUGAUCACAGAUUCACUUCAGUUGGACAUCCAUAGUUUAAUGGAGAAGUCGAAGUCACUAACAGAAUCAUUCUUCAAGAUAUAAAAAUAAGAUUCAUUGAAGUUAAGGACUCUGGGCAGAAGAAUUUUAUAAUGUUCUCUUGGCAUACAGACCUGCACCUCAGAUACCAACUGGAAAAACACCUUUCAAACUCAUUUUUGGAACAGAGACUGUAAUACCUGUUGAGAUCGAUCUACCUACGACCAUAACACAAAUUUUCAUGCUGAAAGUAAUUUAGAUCAGCUGAGAAAUGAUCUUGAUUUACUUGACGAAAUCUGAGAGAAAGCUCAGAUCCGUAUGGCAGUUUAUAAGCAAAGAGUAGCCAGAUAUUACAUUCUCGAGUGAAGCCUAAAAUUUUUCACAAGGGUGAUCUGAUUCUUUGACGAGCUAAAGUCUCAAAGCCAACGAAACAAGAAAAACUUACUCUAAACUAGGAAGGACCAUAACAGAUUACCGAAGUAAUUCGUCUAGAGGCUUACCAAAUUAAAAAUCUAGAUGGUACAAAUAUCUCAAGAACAUGGAAUGCUGAAAAUCUUAGAAUGUACUAUCAAUGAAAUCUUGUCAAUAAAAGCAUUCUAGUUUUGUCCCAAUAAAGACAAAGUUCUAGCCAGAGUUUCUAUUGAAGAAUCCUUCUUCAUCCAAAUUAGAUUGGUAAAAGCCGAUCAAACGAGGAUGAUUAUAAGAAGGAAAUCAAGGUGUCCAAAUGAGGUUGGAAAAAGCCACGAUAAGGCCAUAAAAAUUCUGAUCAAAUCAGGACAACCUGAUGCGAGACAUCCGAUCUUUGAAUUGGACGUCACCAAAGAACAUGAGACACCCGAUCUCCGAAUUGGAUCUCAUUAGACAAUUUGGAAUCUUUGAUCUUUGGAUCAGACCUUAUUGAGAAAUAUGAAGAAAUGACCUAAAUCCUGUGGAAAGAGUGCUCAGAUCUAUAGCUGGAUUUCUCUAAUGAUGACUAUGGGAGGAUAAUGCGGAUUAUCAAUCUCUGGAUGAUAAAAUCUGACUUGUCGUUUCUACUUCGGUUAAAGGUAUUUUUGAAACCUUUACAUUGAAUUAUUAGAGAUUGAUUUAUCUUCAAUUAUGUGAUCUGAUUCAAUUUAGUUCAAUGAUAAAGAUUACUUUUUAAAGUUAAUCAUGUUAGUCUAUCUUAUUUCUUUAAGCUGAAAAUAGUCAUUUGACAUAUUUGAUUAACUGAUCUUAAGUUGCAUGUACUUGUUAUCAUCUGACUGACGUUAGAAAAUAAAUAACUUGUGCAUAUUUCAAAAUGAGUAAAACUCAAGUCGGAUUAUCUGAGAUCGGGAAGAAGAAACAAACACAUUUAAAAAAAUUCUAUUUCAUUGAUAUAAAAAGAAUAACUACAAAAGCCCACAUCGGGCUGAUACAAAAGUUAAAAAUAAAGAAAAAUACAAGUCAGGCUUUAGCUUGAGAAUCUUCCACUGGAGAAGCUGCUGGGGGAGCUGAACUGGACUCUUCCUUAACCUUUUCCUUCAGGGGACCUUUGGUGAUGAUGACCUCGGUCCGGCUGGCCGGGACUUCGGUUGGAGGUACCUUAAUGGAAGGGGUUAAAGGGGGCUGGGUGGCUGUAACUUCAGAGGUUAUCUCGACCACUGCUUCUAUAGAUGCCUCUAUGGUGACCUUGCUGAGGUCGAGGUUGGACAAGUGCUUGAUGAUCAAGCAUCGACAGCUCUUGAAGCCGUAGUCAAAGACCCUCUCUGAUGCUUCAGUCACCUCAUCCUGGAAAGCUUCAAGUGCUUAUACUUCUCGAUAAGAUGGGAUAUCCGCUCCUGGUCCCUAUCGAGCUGACGUCGAUAUGCGAUCAAGGCUUCAUCCAGCUUUUCAAUGGUAUCUUUAGCCUCCUUUAAGUUUAUUUUCCAUCUCAGAGAUCCUCUCACUAUUCUUCCAUAGCUGGUCCUCCUUUUCAGCCUGCUGAUCAUCUUUCUCAUUCAGCUGACGCUGAUUGUCCAGCAGUUGCUUAUUUUUGUCCUUUAUUGACUCUAUCUUUUCUUGAAGCUGCUUCUUCAGUCCCUCUACUGUUUCUUUUUUCUUGGCAGCUUUCUUUUCUACUGCCUUCUUAGCCUCCUCGACCGCCUUCUUGACCUCCUCGGCCUUAGGACUUUCCUCCAUGACUUUUUUAUUCUCAUUCAACCAUGCCAUGUGCUCAUGCAGCAGCCUAAAGUACAUGGUAGAUUGCAAAAACAACAGAAAGAAAAAAAUGAUUAGAUCGGCAAAUACCAAUGUGAAAAGAAGAGAGAAGAACAGAAAAGAAAAAUAUGGUU